UUAAGCAUAGAGGUUUUCCCACAGCUUACGUCACAUUGCUUAAACCUAUCAGUUAUUUUCAGUAAUUAAACUUGAAACAAUAUAUUAAUAAUCAGGCAUUGAUUAUGUGACCUAAAGUUGUGUUGUUGAAUGUAACUGAAUUAAAAGAAUGUGAUUGUCUGAAAAGAAAUAAUAAAAAUGACUCUGGACUCAAAUCUUUUUUCCUAUUUGUGGUGAGUUAUACCGGUCAUCUGAAGAAGUGGGCUGUGCCCAUGAAAGCUCAUGAUACCAUCUACAUGUUUUGUUAGUCUAUAAAGUGCUACUAGUUUUUUUAUACUACUAGUGUUGCUGGUUUUUUAUACUUGGUGACGAUAGUGUUUAAAGCAGGAUUUGACUGUUCUUUUUAAGGUGCCUCUACACUGCACGGCUAUUUCAAAAUAAGUUAUUCGAGAAUAGUUCAUUGUUAAAUAGCACAUCUACGCUGCAGGUAAGCCUCAAAAUUAGUCUGAGGCAGGCUUCUCGAAUGUAGAUGUGCUAUCUCGAUUUAGAGCCCCAGGAAGCACUGGGGAGGAAUAACUUAGAAUGGCCCGGGGGAAGGGCUAUUUUGAAAUAGCAGCAGUGGAGCCUCUACACACGCCUUAUUUCAUAAUAGCUAUUUCAGAACAAGUGUUAUUCCUCAUAGAAUGAGGUUUACAGAUUUUGGAAUAAGCCGCUUGUUAUUUUGAAAUUAUUUUGAAAUAACAGAAUGGCUGUGUAGAUGCUUGCGUUAUUUUGAAAUGACGUGAGUUAUCUCGAAAUAAUGGUGCAGUGCAGAUGCACUCCUACUUAAGAUUGUUACACAGGAAUAAUUAGAUAGAGGGACUUCACAGCUGUUACCAGGUGUAGAAAUUGGUCUAUAUGACUUUUAUUUUUCAUGGCACAUGAGUGAGAAAAAAACAAAAAAAGCAAUUCAGCGUGAUUCUCCAGGGACUGUAGGCUAUUGUUGGAAUUGUAAGCAUCAUAUUAUUUAACCUUAUUCAGUAUGUGUAAUUGACAUAGUACUUAAAGAACCAAGUUUGAGGUUUUGGCUUUUUUACACUAGAACUCUCAGUAUUGUUAACCAGUGGAACUGAACUGUAGACAGAGACUUACGCUUGGUUUACGCUGGAAGUUUAGGUCAGACUUUGCUGCAUUAGGAUGAUUUUUGCACUACCAAGCCAUUCUGUCAACUUAAAAGGCCGUUAAAGUCAAUUUCUGCACUCCUGCUUUCACAAAGAGUAACCGUUAAAUUCAAUCUUGCAUGGUCGACUUUCUGAUAGUCCCGCAUGGGAGAGGUAGUACUGCCUGAGAGUUUUUACCAGACAGGAUACUGGGAGGCAUGAGGCCUCAGGCAAGCAAAGGUUAAUAUCAAACUGACUUGAAAUUAGACAUUAGAUUAAAUUCAGCAGACCAAAACUUUUCAAUUCAAGUUAACCUGUCAUGAAACAAAAAUGUCAUUUUGAUUUUUCCAACAUAGUUUUGAUUUUUGCAGAAACUGGAUUUUCUGAUUCCAAAAUAUGUUGACAGAAGUUUUCUACUCAACUUUAGAGAGUGUCCUCUCAUAGAAACCUUUAAAAAAAAAAGAAGAAGAAAGCUAAGAUUCCUCUGUUUGGAUCAAAAUCUUUUGGAGGAAGAAGCCCUGACGGCCCCAUGUUGAGCAAGGCUGAGUUUGUUGAGAAAGUUCGUCAGAGUAACCAGGCCUGUCAUGAUGGCGAUUUUCAUACAGCUAUUAUGCUGUACAAUGAAGCUCUGGAAGUUGACCCUCAGAAUUGUAUCCUGUACAGUAACCGAUCUGCAGCAUACAUGAAAAUCAAGCAGUACGACAAGGCACUAGAUGAUGCAAUCAAAGCACGACUCCUAAAUCCUAAGUGGCCAAAGGUAGGAAAGCCAGUUUCCCCUUUGGUGAGAGACUCUUUCUGGGGGAGUUUCAGCUAUUUUAAAAGUACUAAGGCUUUAAUUAUUUUGUUGUAAUGCAGUUAGACAUAAAUCAUUUUGUGCUUAUGGUUCACUUUUCUGGAGCUCUGGAGAAUAGAAAUCCUUCUGUGUUAAAAACUGCUUGACUUCUCUGAGUUUCCUGUUGAGAGUAAAACUAUUUUUUGUGUAAACAGACAUUUGCCCAUUAUUCCUAAAUUGCCUGGCAGGGAUUCCUAUUUAUUGAUCUUGUAAAUAUUUUGGAUUCAGCCUUUUAAACAAAUGUCAUUCACAGCGUGUGAAGAUCAGACAUGUCUCUUAACAUUUACAGUAAUAAAUAUUCAGCAGCAGCAAGGAAUAUCUCACUCUGACAGCUUCAGGAGAGCAGUCUGCAGGAUGAACCAUGCUGAAGUGUCUGUUGUUGGUAAUGGGGCAUUACAGUAGAAAACUAAGGACUUUAGCUUAGAUCACUAUCUCCUGUUUUUCUUGAAAUUUAGUUUUUCUAGAGCUGUCCUAUUCUUUGGUAUCUUUUCUUGAUGAUUUUUGAAGAAAUUCCAUAUGGCCCA